UGUCACCCACUGCCACCUGUUAUCCCGAGGGCCCCUCCAAGACACCUGCUGAGCCUGAGAGCUACCUGCAGAAGAUGCCACCCCCUGGGGCCCUGCUCACUCCUGGUUCAGUGAACAACCUAGACAACUGGCCCUGUCUGUUCUGCAGGGCCCAUGAGUGCCCACACACGAUUAGAACGGCUUUCCUGCCGGGAGUCUGACCACUCACAGCUCACUCAGAUUCCGUGCUGAGCCCAGGGCAGCGGGAGAGUCCUCUGGGCUCCAUGACCAGCGGGUCAGGGGCGGGACUUGGUUCCGGGUCCCAGUGCUGCUCCGAGCUUGGCUCUCCCUCCCCUCUGCUCUCCCAAGAGUGCACGUGGACAUUUUCCACCACGCACACAGGAGUGAACAAGACGGCUGUUUUCUUUUACUUCCUGUGACUUUCUGUCAACCUCUUCUUUUUGUGUGUGUGUCAACCUCAUCUUAACCUCAACCUAAGCAUCUUUCCCCACGGGACUCACAACCUGAAAAUCUCGCUCAUUUGUAGAUAAGACAAAUCAACCUGCACUGUAAGCUGUGAUGGUCUCCGUAGCUGGCAGCUGGCAGCUGGCAGCUUUACCCAGUGUGAGGGCGGUCGAACACUACGGUGAACAUUUAGAUCCGGCCACCUCCGAAAACUCCCACCUGUGACUGCAUGAGGCUUUGGAGGACAGCUAGACACAGCCACUGCCCUCCCCAGCUGGCUCCUGUGCACAUUUGCACCUGGGAUGCCCAGGUGCUCCUGCAGAUGGGCGCCAGAGCCCCCCGCAGGUCUGAAGCAGCAAUGCUGGCUGGGCGAGCGGCUGAGGACAGCUGAUUGUCCGUGACACAGAGUCCUGGCUCUUACAGGUUCACCAAGGGUCAGAAGAGAGUACAACAGACACCACGCGCCCCUUACUAACCCUAAGCCAGCCGUGAAUAAGGCACCCCCUUGCCAAGCAGCUGCCCACCCCGAAGAUAAGGCCUCAAAGGCAGGUCAAGGGCAGUGAACGGGCAGAAAGCUCCACGGGGACCACGUCAGUCAGAGGCGCCCGGAAGCCAAGCCAGCUACGGCAGGUUCAUCCUCCUGGAGCCCCCGCCCCGAUUCCUUCUUAACCAGCCAGCUGUCUUCUCCUUCUCUCUCCCCUUCCUUUUCCUCUUCACAAAUCAAAUGUCUUCCUUUCCUUAAACCCAGUCCCUCAGACUCGUUACUGGGGUUGAGCUCAUGAUCCCCACAGACUGCUCAGA